UUGUUGUCAGGAAAGUUGCAUAAAUGUGGUUUAGAAGAACUCCACGGCAUCAGGUUUGUUUUAUGUUUUGUACCUCUCAUAUGUCAUGUUCCUUAUGAAAAGUAGACAUAUGUUUCCUUGUUUUCUUUUUCAGUGCUCUUAAUUUGUUAGUCCAACUUCCUGUAGGCCGCGCGCCACUUGACCCUUGUCUUUGAGCGCUUGUUACGCACCUGUUCCUGAUUGUCACGCAGGAGGCUCACUUGUCUGUGAUUGCCUUCAGGAGGGUUCUGUCCGUUGACCAGCCUGUUUUGGACUUUGUGACUUGUACUUUAAUGAGUCCGACUGCUGCACUAAAAAGCCAGUGCCAACCUUCCCUGACUUAAAUAAAGCACUAUAGACUGUGAUUGCUGCCAUGUCGCCGCAUCCUGAGGGCUCAGCUGGACAUCACAGUCGCUAUCGCGCAAGAUGGGACGGGAGGAGGAAAUGGAGAAGAACAGAGAAAGAGAUUGGAUACGGUGAAAUCUAAGGAACCAAUCUGAGGAUAUCAAUACUGCCGGGAUGACCAUCACAAGGCCCAGCCAAGCAUGCAGAAGAAGGCCCUGUCAUCACAGCCACAAUCCUGGUUAAAGCAUGAACAGGGGAAUGACUCUAUCAAUAAUUCAGCACACUUCACCUCCCCGCUCACCACAGCGGGAUGCUAUGUUAGUGUGUGUGUGGGGGCGACGAUUGUGAUGCUGAAAGAAAAAACAAGCAGAAGAAAGCCAAGAGGAAAAUGUAGCAUAGCUGUGAUGCAAGUAUGGAAAUGCACAAUUAAUGUGCAGAGAGCUGCUUCAUGCUCUCUGGGGGAUUUCAGUCCUUCCCUUCAACCAAUCAAUUUAAUACGCUCCCAGUCAUUUGGUUCCUACGUGCAGCUCCCACUGCUAACCAGGAACAAUGAGCAGAGCCAGAUUGUGUUUCAGCAAGCCUGGACGGUGUAACACGACCCUGCAGACAAGAAUCUGUAGCCACUGGCUAUGCAUGCUGACAAUAUGCUAAUCCAUCACCAAUCAGACAAGCACACGCCUUUCAACCAUCAGCGACGGAACACUUAGAAACCACUUGUAGCGCACUUUUCGGUCAUUGUAAAACGAACCUCACAAUUGCAAACUUCUGUAUUGUUUUUUUUCUUCUUUUUGCUCGGAUCAAAGAAUUGUGGGGCUUUUUUUUGGACAAGGGUGAACUUUGAAGCCCAUGUGGAGCAGCUGUAAUCCAUCAGCAUUUCUCUGCUGUGCCAUGUCCGCGUGCUGAUCAAAUAACCCACUUCUACUGCCCAGCGUCCAAAGACCAUAGCAUAAAUACAUAAUGCAAUAUCAACACAAUUCUGCUGCACGCAAUAUAUGUUACAAGCAGCUGUUUCGGUAAGCCCGACAGGGGGAAAGCAAAGAGUGUUAACAGCAUUAGCCAGCAAAGCAAGGACAGCGAGAGAAAACGACAUUUAUGAUUGAUUAUGUGGUAAAAGGCUAAGAAAACAAAGUUGGCCUUUGAUAGUACUCUUUACAGUUCUGUAAAACUAGCUGACUUUCAUUAAUACAGAGAUUUCAAUUAAGGGAAAUGUGAAAUAAUACCUCACUUUUUGUAUACAAACAUACAAACACAUGACGAAAAAAACGGAUACAUUAAAAUUUAACAUCACUCAUACCUUUUAGUAAAGAUGUUUGUUAGUGAUGACGGCAUUAGCCAGACGCAUGCUAGUUUUGUACUUUUGUAUUUUGUGGUUCUACUCAAUUUGAAAAAAACAGUCUUAGUCACAAAGACGUGGGAUUCUUUGUUUGGGCAAUUAAAUCCACGGAAUUAUACAUUCUGCAAUGUUUGGUCGUACGAUAACCAAAACAGGUAUAGAAAAUCGGGGCAAACCCUCAGUAAAGAUCUGUGUCGAAAACCGUAUUCUACAAAAAGUGGUUCAUACAGAAAGUCAGGUACUUCUGUGUUAAGUCCUCUGAUGGGCCAAAACAAUGGACCCGGGGUCUCUCUGUGGGGAGUUUUCGUGUUCUCCCCGUGACUGCGUGGACUCCCUCUGGGUACUCCGGCUUCCUCCUAUCUCCAUAGACAUGCACCUGGAGAUAGGUUUAUUGGCAACACUAAAUUGGCCCUAGUGUAUGAAUGUGAGUCUA